GAAAAACAAGAACGAGAGUUUUAUUUAUUUGGAAACUAUGAAACUGAAAAUUCAAAUUUAAACAUUUAAAGAUGAACUAAAGAAAAAUAAGAGACAACAUAAAAUGGCUAUGAAUACGAGUGAAAAGAGAAGAAAAAAAAGAGGUCAAUGAGGAAGACGAAAGUAAAUAGGAAUGGGGUUAGGCUUGUUAGGAGGAGAAUCCCAAACAGAGAAAGCACUUGAUGAAUUCAUCCAUUUGUUUGAAAUCUCUGGGUAAUGCCUUUCUAUAACAUCUUUCAAACUCUCUGUUGUGUUUACCCAUUCCAAUCCCUUCUUUGUGUAUGUUUCUUCAUUGAAAUGACUU
rnacentral:lncRNA from 1 species